ACGUAGGGGGCGAGCGUUAUCCGGAUUUACUGGGCGUAAAGCGCGUUAAGGCGGAUGGCCAAGUUGGCGGUGAAAUUUCGGGGCUCAACCCCGAAACUGCCGCCAAAACUGGUCGUCUAGAGUAUGGGAGAGGAAGGUGGAAUUCCGGGUGUAGUAGUGAAAUGCGUAGAUAUCCGGAGGAACACCAGCGGCGAAGGCGGCCUUCUGGCCCAUAACUGACGCUGUAGCGCGAAAGCGUGGGGAGCGAACGGGAUUAGAUACCCCGGUAGUCCACGCCCUAAACUUUGUGCACUAGGUGUUGGGUGUAUUGACGCGCUCAGCGCCGUAGCUAACGCAUUAAGUGCACCGCCUGGGGACUACGACCGCAAGGUUA
rnacentral:rRNA from 1 species